UGACUGAAUGCUGAUGUCAGUUACACCCAUGCUACCCAACUUUUGGAGUUGCGCAGGUGUAAUAAAGGACAUACAUGAAGACUGUGGGUGUUACUGUUACAGGUUUAGGCGCAGCUCUGUCCCCUUCCUGGUAUCUCUGCGGCCUCUUCAGGUGUCAGGCCUUGAGCCUUUACCUCUCCUGGGGUGGAAUCACAUAAUUCUCCCACUCUCGGAGUAGGCCUGAGGCUACACGUCCCUGUGUAUCAGCUGUGCUUACCCAGCAGGUAUGACUGGGUUCAGCACUUGUGAUUCUUCAUUUUGGGAGUCUGUGACCAGUGGCAAAGUCAUUUAAGGAGGCUGUUUAGUAACUGAUAUGCCAAGGACACAGGAAUUUGACAGCUGGUGCAAAUCCUGAUUCACCAUUGCAUGAGAGCAGAGGAACUUGGACGCAUUGAAACUGGACAAAGAGAUUUUUUGGAUCCCUGCUGAUGAGACUACCUGGAGAUUAACUCUGCUACAGGCUCUGAUCCCCAACAAGAAGUUUCAAUGAGUCAGUCUUACUCUUUGCUCUUAAAUGACAACUGUGUUCCACAACAGAUGAGACUAUGUUUCAGUGGUGAUUAAAGCUCUGGGACUGUCUACAUGAAAGGUACUAUAUAAAAUCCUAAAAUGUAAGAUUGCUGCUAUUAUUAAAAUAUUAAAAUUCUAAUGCUUUGUAUUAUGGUAAAUGUGGUCUGGCUUUCCACUUGGUAAUUCACACUGGAUUUGUUCAUUUUCAUAGCUUUCAUUAAGUUUCAGGGAGGAUUUCUGUGUGA